AUCAUGGGAAUUAAACUUUUAAACAUAUAAUCAUGAUUAUAUUCCACUGUAUUGACGAUACUAUAAUCAUGAAUAAAUAUAUACAUAUUUAUAUAUGUUUUGGACUUAAUAGAAUUUAUACAUUAAACAUAAUCAUGAAAUAAAUCAUGUGAACCAUGCAACAUAAAAGCGAUUUCUGAUCUUUAUUAAUUAGUUAAUCUGAUUAUAUUGAAAUGAGUUUUAUUUAGGGCACAAAACCCAACAAGUUCACUAUUAAAAUUGCGAAGAAUAGCUCCAAAACUAGAUUUACGCUCCAUUGUAUUCAUUGAUGCAUCAGUGUGAAGCUUCAGUCGGCCAGAAGGUAGAUUCAACCAUUGUAGUGUAGUAGAACAUGGAGUAGAGUUAUCUACAAUGUUUUUUUUGGCCUCCAAUAUCGAUUUUGUAAUGUGCAUUAUGAUAUUCAAUAACAUAAUUCAGAGCAUAUUGUAACAACACACAGUUGGCUUUGGUUGCUUACCAUGAUAUUCAUUGUUUCGUUCAAUCCAAAUACUUCAUAUGAUGCAAGCAACUUUCUCUAAUUCUUCCUUUGUUAAAAAAUUUGAUAUGUAGAAUAAAAAGGACUUACAAGAAUCAUUAUUGCCAAUGAGAAAGUGGAAAUCCUUAGUAGAUUUGUGAAGUUUUGGUGAAGCUUAAGCCUUUAAACUUAAAGAAUUAAAGAAGUUGGAGUAGCGACUUGGCAUAGAAAUUCAAUGCCAAGGCGCCCCUUUGGAAAAUAAUAGCAAAAAGUUGGAGUAAUGGGUGCUACACACAGGCCAUGGCAUGAGUUUAACCAUGUCGUGGCAUUACAAGGUUGCUGCCCAGAAUUGUGACACACGGGCCAUGGCAUGAUGAAGUCCAUGUCGCAGCCCGCCACUUCUAUUUUUCACCAGGAAGUCAUUUCAAGAAGACACGAGCCACGACAUGGUGAAGCCUAUGCUACAACCCGCAUGUGAAAAUAUUUCUAAAUUAGGCUAAGUAAACCUAAUUCGAAAAAGGGAAGACGGUGACUUUUGAGGAGGCACGAAUUUUGAGAGAAAGAGCAGCCUUGGAGACUACUACCAUUGAUUUUCAACAAGUUAUUUUCUUCUUUCUUUUAUUCUAUGUUCUCAAUUAGUUUUAUGCAAUUUUUUAUAAUGAUUAUUAUGAGCUAAACUCAUAUUUAAGUUUUUUAAAUGGAGAUUGUAUGAUAAUUUCUAUGGAUUAAUGUAAUUAAUUUUUCUCCUUC